rnacentral:rRNA from 1 species
CUUUCUUCUCUGUUUCCUCGGACGCACCUCCGCCGAGCUCGCCGUCCACCCACACCACUCCCCGUCAUCUUGGAUUGAACGCCAGCCACCAAAGCAUAUCAUAAUCCCCUCGCUCCUCCCUCACCACGCCGCCCAGAUCCGCGAUGGCGCUCCUCCCUAAUCCAUCUUCCUCAUCUCCGGUGCGGCCCCGGGGCGACAUUACAGGUGCUCCAUCCCGACCUUAGGGGGCCGAGCCUCCCAUCUCCAUCUCGAUUGGGGCUUCGGCUGCCGGUGUAGCUAUCCAUCUUCAUCAUCCCCGAAGGAUAACCAGCAGUUUACAUCCCUCUGUUUCCCCCCUCUUCGAAGUGCCUCUCCUCAGAAUGGAAGACAUUUUGCUACACGCAAUUCCAGCUAUGCUUCUCUGCUGUAUAACGCCCAAAAUGUUCGAGUGUUCUAUGAGCUACUCUAAGUUGUCGGUUGUACUAUGCAUGACGGAGAGCUCAUGGCGCACGCUGAUCUUGUCCAUGUCCAGCUUGUCGAGCUGCUGCCACUAUGACGGA